rnacentral:rRNA from 1 species
GGGGAAUCUUGCGCAAUGGCCGAAAGGCUGACGCAGCGACGCCGCGUGGAGGAUGAAGGUCUUCGGAUUGUAAACUCCUGUUGCCCGGGACGAAAAGCUUCGAUCUAACACGUCGAGGUCUGACGGUACCGGGUGAGGAAGCCCCGGCUAACUCCGUGCCAGCAGCCGCGGUAAUACGGAGGGUGCGAGCGUUGUCCGGAAUCAUUGGGCGUAAAGGGCGCGUAGGUGGCCCAGUCAGCGUGCGGUGAAAGCUCGGGGCUCAACCCCGAGUCGGCCGUGCGAACUACUGGGCUGGAGCACUGUAGAGGCAGGCGGAAUCCCGGGUGUAGCGGUGGAAUGCGUAGAGAUCCGGAAGAACACCGGUGGCGAAGGCGGCCUGCUGGGCAGUUGCUGACACUGAGGCGCGACAGCGUGGGGAGCAAAC